rnacentral:rRNA from 1 species
GGACUACCGGGGUUUCUAAUCCUGUUUGCUCCCCACGCUGUCGCGCCUCAGUGUCAGUUACUGCCCAGCAGGCCGCCUUCGCCACCGGUCUUCUAUCGGAUCUCUACGCAUUCCACCGCUACACCCGAUAUUCUACCUGCCUCUACAGUACUCUAGCCUCGCAGUCGCCAUGGCCGACCCGGGGUUGAGCCCCGGGCUUUCACCACAGCCUUACCAAGCCACCUACGCGCCCUUUACGCCCAGUGAUUCCGGACAACGCUCGCACCCCCCGUAUUACCGCGGCUGCUGGCAC